rnacentral:rRNA from 1 species
CCUACGGGGGGCUGCAGUGGGGAAUAUUGGACAAUGGGGGGAACCCUGAUCCAGCCAUGCCGCGUGUGUGAAGAAGGCCCUCGGGUUGUAAAGCACUUUCAGUGAGGAAGAACGCCUGGUGGUUAAUACCCAUCAGGAAAGACAUCACUCACAGAAGAAGCACCGGCUAAUUCCGUGCCAGCAGCCGCGGUAAUACGGAGGGUGCGAGCGUUAAUCGGAAUUACUGGGCGUAAAGCGCGCGUAGGUGGCUUGAUAAGCCGGUUGUGAAAGCCCCGGGCUCAACCUGGGAACGGCAUCCGGAACUGUCAAGCUAGAGUGCAGGAGAGGAAGGUAGAAUUCCCGGUGUAGCGGUGAAAUGCGUAGAGAUCGGGAGGAAUACCAGUGGCGAAGGCGGCCUUCUGGACUGACACUGACACUGAGGUGCGAAAGCGUGGGUAGCAAACAGGAUUAGAUACCCCUGUAGUC